rnacentral:rRNA from 1 species
CUACGGGCGGCAGCCGUGGGGAAUAUUGCACAAUGGGCGCAAGCCUGAUGCCGCCAUGCCGCGUGUGUGAAGAAGGCCUUCGGGUUGUAAAGCACUUUCAGCGGGGAGGAAGGCGGUGAGGUUAAUAACCUCAUCGAUUGACGUUACCCGCAGAAGAAGCACCGGCUAACUCCGUGCCAGCAGCCGCGGUAAUACGGAGGGUGCAAGCGUUAAUCGGAAUUACUGGGCGUAAAGCGCACGCAGGCGGUCUGUCAAGUCGGAUGUGAAAUCCCCGGGCUCAACCUGGGAACUGCAUUCGAAACUGGCAGGCUAGAGUCUUGUAGAGGGGGGUAGAAUUCCAGGUGUAGCGGUGAAAUGCGUAGAGAUCUGGAGGAAUACCGGUGGCGAAGGCGGCCCCCUGGACAAAGACUGACGCUCAGGUGCGAAAGCGUGGGGAGCAAACAGGAUUAGAUACCCGAGUAGUC